GACGAACGCUGGCGGCGUGCUUAACACAUGCAAGUCGAACGGAAAGGCCCUUUGGGGUACUCGAGCGGCGAACGGGUGAGUAACUCGCGGGUGAUUUGCCCUGCCCUUUGGGUUAAGUCAGGGCAACUGGGUCUAAUUACUACUGGGUCCACGCGCCUCCUGGAGUGUGGUGGUUAGCUUUUUCGGUGGGGGGUGGGCGCGCUGCCUGUUGAUUUGUUGGUGGGGGGGUGGGCUACUAAGGCGGGGAGGGGUGGCCGGCCUGCGGGGGUGACCGGCCACACUGGGACGGGAAUACGGCCCGGACUCCUACGGGAGGAAGCAGUGGGGAUUAUUGCACAAUGGGCGCAAGCCGAAGGCAGCGACGCCGCGUGAGGGAUGACGGCCUUCGGGUUGUAAACCUCUUUCAAUAGGGACGAAGCGUAAGUGACGGUACCUAUAGAAGAAGCACCGGCCAACUACGUG
rnacentral:rRNA from 1 species